AUGAUAUGGAUGAUGAUGCAUUACAUGUUUAAGCAUUUUUACUUUAGAGAAAAAGUAUAGACUCUCCACCAAUACCAUUCUAGGAUCUUUGCAACAUUCCGCGUCACAGCAAAAUUGGAAUAAACCACAAAAGAACCAACCACUACAGCAUCCGGUAUGAGCUCUUCAAGCGGCAAGGGGCUCUCAUCAUCCGGGAGCGGUGACGGCGCAAGUGCUGGAAGAGACUCUUGUGGAUCUGGUUCAGAAACCGGAAGCAGUGGCGGGGGUUGUGAUCCCUGAAAUGCAGCGUCGGUUUGAGACAGUGACGGGAGCGCUUCAGGUGGCGGGAUGGACACAUGAGGAGCUAUUAACGUCGUUAGCGGGCGUCUUCUAGUUGUUUCGGGCCGAUGUGUCCGGGAAGCGGAGGCGGCAUCAACCCGAUGUUUCCGGUAGUCAGUGGAAGCGGUAAUGGCGGCUGCACGGGCCCGUUCUGUAUGGGCGCCGGAAAUGGCGGCAGUGACGGAGCCAGAAGUGGCGGUGGGAUGAUGGGCGGACCCAGGGGAGUGAGCGGUAAAUAUUGGCGUCCGUUCCUGUUGUUAUUGCUGGCCGGACACGAAAUUCGCCAUAGGUUGUCAAACUGUGACGUCAUCGAGCCACGCAUUGCAGCUGGGAGAGGCAUCACCGGGGAACUAAUAUACACAUGUCCGGUUUGCUCUUCGGAUAGAGGGAUGUCCUCUGUUUUUUUCCGGAUCUCCGCCCAACAGCACACCAAAAGUACAUAUACAGUGACAAUAACUUAAUUGCUGUAAAUUGCUGCUAUAAUUCAGUAUUCGACCAAACGUCCUUGUUUGUAGAAAGUAAAUGCAGUAACGGACGCGUAAGGACCUCAUACACUUUGAAAUACAAAUUAACUCAUAAAUGAACAUUGGGACAUUAAUCCACAAACAUCAACUUGAUCUCCUUCACAAUGCGAGUUUUUGUCGUUUCAGUUGUUGUUAAAUAUUUUCAUAUUUUUUUGUUAUACUGGCACAUUUUCCGUUUUAUUGUUAUUAAAUUUUUAACAUAAAAAAUUGAUUCAACACAGUUAAAAAAUACGACUCAACGAAAAAAGUCAUAAAAAAUUGAUUCAACACAGUUCAAAAAUACGAAUCAAUGAAAAAGUAUAAUUUCUGAAACGUGUAAUUUGUAUAAUGCAUGAUUUCUGAAACGUAUAAUCUGUGACUACUACUACUACUACUUCUUCUUCUACUACUACUUCUACUUCUACUACUACUACUACUACUACUACUACUACUACUACUACUACUAUUACUACUACUACUACUACUACUACUACUACUACUACUACUACUACUACUACUACUACUACUACUACUACUACUACUACUACUACUACUACUACUACUACUUCUACUACUACUACUACAACUACUACUACCAUCACUAUUUUUCAAUCUUACAACUGACGCAUACUUUACAAUUCAGAUAUUCAUUUUAUGGAAUAGAAGGUUAUAGUUGUUCGAAAAUACCGUAUGUAUUGAAAUACAACACGCCAUUUAUUCUUUGUAUAUGUUAAUUAAGUGAAUAACAAAUUGUGAGUCAAAGGCUGAUAUUUGCCUAGGUAGAUUAUUUAGGUCCUUAUUUUUAUCACAAAAUCUCUUUUUAAAUCAUCGUAGAACGAAAGUAAGGCGCCUUACCCCUGCGUGGGGUUACAGUGAUUAUACAUACUUCAAUAUAAAAUGAGUCACCUAAUUUUCUCUGAAACUACAUGACCCCGUGGUUUUACAAGCUGAGCUGUUUAUUUUCUGCCAAUCGAAGGUUAUGAUAUUAUUUUUAAAAUUUAAAUCACAUCUUUCUUGUGAAAUUUGACAUUGUUCAUAUUAAUACACUUCGAAACAACCUGCAAGUGCAUAGUGGUCAUUGUUCAGGUUACAACGACAAGUGCGUGGGACCGGAGCGCUCGGCAAAAGUGGGACAAAGUAUGUCGCCUGAAUUUGAUAUCUUCCCGAGAGUUUUGUCGCGUUUGGGCUGAUUUGGGCGAUUACUUCUAAAAAAGACCAACACUUGUGUGUUUGUGUUUAAUCCGAAAUAUAUCUUGACCAUUAGACACUUGACAGCAAAUUGUUGGUGGUCUCUUUAUUUUCUUUAUAUUUUGAACUCAUCGCAACCACUCGAACCCAACAUCCUGUAAACCUGCCUCAUCCUGCAAAAGCACUAAUUUUAGAAUUAUGAAAUACACGCAACUAUGUUUUUGUAAAUGUAUACAUAAAUAUUAAUCACACAUUGAUUCGUUUUACUGGCUCUGUUUUGAAAAUUUACUUACUGUUGUUAAUAUCUUGUUUUUGUGAUUAUCAGGAUUUAACUGACCCUGAAGCAAAACGGGUUUGAUUCAGAACAAGUGUUUGGAUUGUAGUGAAUUGCAUAACCAGGCCAGCCAAGUUUUAUUCACUGUUCAGCAUCCCCAUGAUGUUUUAUAAACUCGCAUGUAAGAAUUCAAAAGUCGUUAAUAUACUGUUAUUAAACAGUUUUACCAUGUAUACUUCUAAUAGUUGUACAUUUUUACCAUAUUUAUUUCGAACAGUUGGGUUAUGUAACCCAUAACCCUUUGUAAGACCCGCCCCUUCUUGCAUUUGUGAUUUUUUUCUAUAUGUCAUCACUCUUCUGAACAAUUGAAAAAUACAGGGGCUUUUGGUGGUUUAAUUUUAAUUUGAAUUAUUGAUAUGAAAUCAACAUUUAACUUAUAUGUAAUAUAAUUAUCUGUUGAAAUGUAUAUUAUUACCUCAUUCAACCCAAAAUCGAAUAUAAUGAUGAAACGAUA